CCCAGGAGGACUAGUGGUUAGGCCACAGCGCUCUCACCACUGUGGCCUGGGUUCGAUCCCCAGCCACUGGGG
rnacentral:tRNA from 1 species